GACGAAUGCUGGCGGCGUGCUUAACACAUGCAAGUCGAACGGUGAAGGAGAGCUUGCUCUCCGGAUCAGUGGCGAACGGGUGAGUAACACGUGGGUAACCUGCCCCUCACUUCGGGAUAACCAUCCGAAAGGAUGGCUAAUACCGGAUACGAAGCCUGGAGGCAUCUCCGGGUUUGGAAAGUUUUUCGGUGAGGGAUGGACCCGCGGCCUAUCAGCUUGUUGGUGAGGUAAUGGCUCACCAAGGCGAAGACGGGUAGCCGGCCUGAGAGGGCGACCGGCCACACUGGGACUGAGACACGGCCCAGACUCCUACGGGAGGCAGCAGUGGGGAAUAUUGCACAAUGGGCGAAAGCCUGAUGCAGCGACGCCGCGUGAGGGAUGAAGGCCUUCGGGUUGUAAACCUCUUUCAGCAGGGACGAAGUGAAAAUGACGGUACCUGCAGAAGAAGCACCGGCUAACUACGUGCCAGCAGCCGCGGUAA
rnacentral:rRNA from 1 species